AAUAGUAUCGGGUAGUCCACGCCGUAAACGAUGAGUGCUAAGUGUUAGAGGGGUCACACCCUUUAGUGCUGCAGCUAACGCGAUAAGCACUCCGCCUGGGGAGUACGGCCGCAAGGCUGAAACUCGAAAGGAAUUGACGGGGGCCCGCACAAGCGGUGGAGCAUGUGGUUUAAUUCGAAGCAACGCGAAGAACCUUACCAGGUCUUGACAUCCCCUGACAACCCAAGAGAUUGGGCGUUCCCCCUUCGGGGGGACAGGGUGACAGGUGGUGCAUGGUUGUCGUCAGCUCGUGUCGUGAGAUGUUGGGUUAAGUCCCGCAACGAGCGCAACCCUUGCCUCUAGUUGCCAGCAUUCAGUUGGGCACCCUAGAGGGACUGCCGGCUAAAAGGUCGGAGGAAGGUGGGGAUGACGUCAAAUCAUCAUGCCCCUUAUGACCUGGGCUACACGACGUGCUACGAAUGGGCGGUACAAAGGGCUGCGAACCCGCGAGGGGGAGCGAAUCCCAAAAAGCCGCUCUCAGUUCGGAUUGCAGG
rnacentral:rRNA from 1 species